rnacentral:lncRNA from 10 species
GAGGACUGGGCACAUGGGACCUAGUCAGCAGACCCUGGUGGGCGUGUCCUCAUCAGUGAGGCCUUGUCAGUAAGGUCCUGGUCAGUGGAGUCCUUGUCAUUGUGUGCCUGGCAGUGGGGGCCUUGUUAGUGGGGCCUGGUCAUGAGGGUCUAAUCAGUGAGUGUGUCAUCAGGGAUGACCUGAUGUGCGGGGUCUGGUCAGCAGGGACCUGGUCAAUGUGGGCUGCUGAGCACUGCUUGGAUAAGCCAGGUGCAAUGUGCAUUAUUGAAGGCCCUGUGGACAGCUGGGAUAGCCCAGUGAUGCCCAAGGGCCUAGUCAAAAGUGGACAAAGCACGUGUUUGGAUGGACCUGGGAGAUCCUGCUCAGAGAUUCUGA